UAUGUUUAUUAACACAGCAAGCAAUGGCUUGAUUAGGAUUAAAUGAAAGAGCGGCAUUAAUUCAUCCAUCACUGCUAUCUAGUAAAGUUAAAACACGACCAUGAGGACACUUGUACGACAAAGUAGGGUGGAAGAAGAGGAGGAUGGCAAGGGUAAGAGAGGAAGGGACAAACCCAGACCCACUCACCAAACAACAGAAAGAACUCAAAAAUAAAAAUUUAUGAGCUAUUGAAAGGGUACAGAAAUAAGGAUGGAGCAUUCCUGGGUAUAAGAAGGACGUGUUGGGUGGUUCGGUUCACAGGUAGGUAUGUAUUUAUGGGUUUAUUGGAGGGAGAUAAUAUUGAACCAGGCUGGCCUAUAUUAUAGGCUUGUAGAAGAAGAUGCAGCUGGAAAUAUGGACACACGGACAGAGACAAUUAGCACACCUGUAAUUGGCUGAUAUAGUCACCAUCAUGAGCAGCUCCAUCAAGUGUGGUGAGAAGAGACCAGAUUACCAAUGGAUCAGGGUAUCAGUGGAUCAGAGUAUAUAUGGAUGGUCUUUUGUUGUUUUAGGGUUCUUGUUUUCAGAGAGGGGGGGAGGUGUGGGCACCAAAAGAAUCAAUGGUACUUUCAAAUAUUAAUACCUGACCUCAGACAUCAUUUUAAUUAGUUUUGAGAUUUUUUUUUUCCUUUUUUCCAAAG